UUCACAGUAACUUAUCUGGUCUCUGCUGUACUUUUCUGGCUCUACUGCUGAAACAACCUAAAAGGAAUCAGAAAAUAGCGUAGCAGGAGGAGGUUCUGAAAUGGGGAAGCCGGGAAAGCCUCUCUGUGGAAAUGACAUUCCAAGACCUGAUGGAUAAGUAGGAACCAGGCAGAAGAAUUGGAGGGUGAAGAGAGGGUGUGCCAGUCAGAGGGAAAAGCCUGUUUCAAUGCCCUGAAAUUGGAAUAUGCUUCCUGUGCUUAAGAAAUUAAAAGAAGGCCAGUUUUGUACUUA